AGAAUGAACGCUGGCGGCAUGCCUAACACAUGCAAGUCGAACGAAGCCUUCGGGCUUAGUGGCGCACGGGUGCGUAACGCGUGGGAAUCUACCCUUGGGUUCGGAAUAACAGUUAGAAAUGACUGCUAAUACCGAAUGAUGUCGUAAGACCAAAGAUUUAUCGCCCAGGGAUGAGCCCGCGUAGGAUUAGCUAGUUGGUGAGGUAAAAGCUCACCAAGGCGACGAUCCUUAGCUGGUCUGAGAGGAUGAUCAGCCACACUGGGACUGAGACACGGCCCAGACUCCUACGGGAGGCAGCAGUGGGGAAUAUUGGACAAUGGGCGAAAGCCUGAUCCAGCAAUGCCGCGUGAGUGAUGAAGGCCUUAGGGUUGUAAAGCUCUUUACCCGGGAUGAUAAUGACAGUACCGGGAGAAUAAGCUCCGGCUAACUCCGUGCCAGCAGCGC
rnacentral:rRNA from 1 species